rnacentral:rRNA from 1 species
AUGGAGGAGAGCAAGCGGCGUGAUAGAUACACGCUUGACAAUCGCAAACCAAGAAAGCCCGUCGUCGAACUAGACCCCCGGCUAACCACUAUGUAUGAGGAGGUCAAGGGUUUGGUGGCGAUUGAUGGCCCACUGAAUCAGGUUAUCGCUUGGUUGACGGAGGAGAGCAAUGAGCGCAAAGUGGUAUCCAUCGUCGGAUGUGCAGGGCUGGGGAAGACGACCCUUGCUAUGGAAGCCUAUCGCAAGAUUGGGGGAAACUUUCAGUACCGAGCUUGCGUAUCGGUGUCGUGUACCCUUGAUCUGGAGAAGCUCUUGAAGGAUAUCCUCUCUCAGAUCGGCAAAAAGGAGUUUGCAGAAUGUCAAUCGCAGAACUGGGAGAAGGAACAAGUGAUCCGAAAAAUCUCAGAGAUCUUGACAGGAAAGAGGUACUUAAUUGUUAUUGAUGAUGUAUGGAGAGAACAAGACUGGAAAUUUAUCAAGGCUUCCUUUCCUGGGAAUGAUAACGGUAGCAGAAUAAUUACUACUACCCGAAUUACCAAUGUUGCCAAGUCAUGUUGUUGUAAUUCUGGUGACCAGCUAUAUCAAAUGGCACAUCUGAGUAGUAUUGAUUCUGAAAGACUGUUUUUUAAGAGAAUUUUCGGCCUGGGCAAUGCAUGCCCUCCUCAUCUGAAGACGGUUUCAGCUAAAUUGUUAAAAAAAUGCAGUGGACUGCCAUUGGCUAUAAUUACAAUUGCAAGUUUGCUAGCCAAUAAACCACGAAUCAAGGAUGAAUGGGAGAGACUGCAAGAUUCCAUUGGCAUCGACUCUUCACAAAAUGAUGAUAGUUUAAAAUCUAUGAGAGAUAUAUUGUUACUUAGUUAUUGGGAUCUUCCACAGCACUUGAAGACUUGCUUAUUGUACUUGUGUAUAUAUCCGGAGGAUCACCAUAUUGAGUGCGAAGAACUAAAAUGGAAGUGGAUAGCUGAAGGAUUCAUUGAUACACGGUGGGGAAAUUUGGGUCAAGAAGCAGAGAACUAUCUUAAUGAACUUGUCAAUAGAAGUAUGCUCCAACUGGUUGAUAUGAACUAUGACAGCUCUAUACAGUGUUGCCAGGUUCAUGAUAUGGUGCUUCAACUUAUAAUAUCUCUGUCGGAUGAAGAGAAUUUCGCCACAGUUUUGAAUGGGCGUGUCUGCAAUUCUUUGCCAAGCAAGAUCCGCCGACUCUCUAUUCACUCUAAUGUCCAACAACAAAAAGUAGCAGUUGAUGCCAUCGGAAGAAGUGAGUUGCAUGCUCGCUCACUGCAUGUGUUCGGGAAAUUUAAGCAGAUACCCCUAGUGGUUAACUUCCUUUCUUUGCGGGUGUUGGAUCUACGUGAAGGUUCUUGUAUCUGGUUCGGAAAAAAGCAAAUACAGAAUAUAGGAAGUUUAUCUCAGCUGAGGUAUUUAAGACUUCACAGUUCAGAAAUCACAGAGCUUCCUGAAGAAAUCGGGAUGCUACAGUACUUGGAGACUCUUGAUUUGCGGCGUUGUUAUUCACUCACAGUGCUGCCAUCAACUGUGGUUAGGCUGCGGAAGCUGGCACACCUGUUCGUCCAUGACAGACUUAUGUUGCACGCAGAUGUGUUUGGAAGAAUGCAUGCCUUGGAGGAAGUAUCAGCUAUCAGCUAUGUUGACAACCCAGUGAAAUUUGCAGAACAACUUCGGAAUCUAAUAAACCUGAGAAGAAUCUAUAUGCCUUGUUCUGUUGCUCUUCUCCAGGCCAAAAAUGGUGAUUAUGCAGAAGCACUUGUGAGAAUUCUGGUGUCUUCUCUAAAUGAGUUGGGCGAACACAACCUUCAACAUCUUCAUAUUACUGGAAGUGUAGGAGAAAAUCUGUUCAGGGAUCCUGCUUGUACCUUUCCGCACCUCCAAGAUGUUGAAAUAUCUACACUUAUUCACCGGGUUCCCAAGGGAAUGGCUUCCCUGAACAGCAUAGUCAAACUAGUCAUAAAAGUCAGACAAUUUGAUGAGAAGGACCUGCAUCUUCUUAUGCGGAUGCCUUGUCUGACUCACCUUGGGCUAACCCUAUACCAUCGGAUUGGAGUCAGGGAAAAGCUCACCGUUGGUGGCGACGGGUUUAAGCUUCUAAAGGUGCUCCACUAUGAAAUUGUGCUAAGCUCUGGAACAGGGAUAUCAUUUGCACAAGGUGCUCUGCCAGCACUCCGACGUCUCCAUCUUUCCUGGACUGCAAGCCGAGUUAUGUCCAGGAAAUGUGAUGGUGCUGACCUUGGCAUCGAACAUCUCUCAGGCCUUGUACACCUCCAUGUCGAAACUAACUGUCGUUUUGCAACUCUGGGCGAAGUGGAGGCGGUGGAGGCUGCAGUUCAAAAAGCCGUCGCCUUGCAUCCCAACCUCCACGCUCUUCAAGUUGACGUUUAUAAGACAUCAACUGAAAACAUCAUUAAGGGUGACAAGGAGAGAAGCGAGGAGAGCGGCGAGGACAUGACUGACGAGGAGUACGGGAAUAGCGAGAUUGAUGUCAGUGACUCGCCACCGCCAACUAGCUCCUGUUUGCUGGACCAGGUAAUGUGGACAGACACACGUUCCUCCAACUCUGCAAUACUGCGAGUCUGCAACUUGCCAGCUGAAUGA